ACUCAAAUGAAUAGACGGGGGCCCGCACAAGCGGUGGAGCAUGUGGUUCAAUUCGACGCAACGCGAAGAACCUUACCCAGGCUUGAACAGCGAGUGACCACUCACGAAAGUGAGCUUCCGCAAGGACACUCGUAGAGGUGCUGCAUGGCUGUCGUCAGCUCGUGUCGUGAGAUGUUGGGUUAAGUCCCGCAACGAGCGCAACCCUUGUUUGCUGUUGCCAUCAGGUUAUGCUGGGCACUCUGCAAAGACUGCCGGUGAUAAACCGGAGGAAGGUGGGGAUGACGUCAAGUCAGCAUGGCCUUUAUGUCUGGGGCCACACACGUGCUACAAUGGCCGACACAAACCGUCGCGAGCCCGCGAGGGGGAGCUAAUCGGAGAAAGUCGGUCUCAGUUCGGAUCGUAGGCUGCAACUCGCCUGCGUGAAGUUGGAAUCGCUAGUAAUCGCGGAUCAGCACGCCGCGGUGAAUACGUUCCCGGGCCUUGUACACACCGCCCGU
rnacentral:rRNA from 1 species